rnacentral:rRNA from 1 species
AUUGAACGCUGGCGGCAUGCUUUACACAUGCAAGUCGAACGGUAACAGGCCGCAAGGUGCUGACGAGUGGCGAACGGGUGAGUAAUGCAUCGGAACGUGCCCAGUCGUGGGGGAUAACGCAGCGAAAGCUGCGCUAAUACCGCAUACGAUCUAUGGAUGAAAGCGGGGGACCGUAAGGCCUCGCGCGAUUGGAGCGGCUGAUGUCAGAUUAGGUAGUUGGUGGGGUAAAGGCUCACCAAGCCGACGAUCUGUAGCUGGUCUGAGAGGACGACCAGCCACACUGGGACUGAGACACGGCCCAGACUCCUACGGGAGGCAGCAGUGGGGAAUUUUGGACAAUGGGCGCAAGCCUGAUCCAGCAAUGCCGCGUGCAGGAAGAAGGCCUUCGGGUUGUAAACUGCUUUUGUACGGAACGAAACGGCUCUGGUUAAUACCUGGGGCUAAUGACGGUACCGUAAGAAUAAGCACCGGCUAACUACGUGCCAGCCGCCGCCGUAAUAC